GUACCCAUUGGCGUUCGGAUCGGGUUUUUCAGAUUUUGAUUCUUUUUUAUAACACCUCCUAGGUCCCAUUCUAGUAAAUUUGCAAGUACGGAUCAGGUUCGUAUAUGUCACAUCGUGCUCGGAUCGGUUUUGUAUCACAUCAUAGAACCCAUAAAGUAACCAUAUAUAAUUCAGAUUCGGGUUAUAUCGGAUCAGUUCGGAUAUACCCAAAAUAAAAUCUAAAAUUUAAAAGCAAAACAUAAAUAUAUACCUAUGUAUAUAUAAUUACGUAUUAAAAGUAGUUAUUUAAAUUUUAAAUACUUAUUGUUAGAUAUCAUAUCAAAAUAAAUAUGAAAUUGAAUAUUUGGAGUAUUUAUUCAUGUUUCAUAUAAUUAUAUUGUAUAUUAGUUUGGACAUUCGGAAUGGUUUCUUCGGAUAUCUUUUUGGAUUUUUUGAUUUUUUUUGGUUUUUCGGAUUACCCGUUCGGGUUUGGUUAAUAACACUUUGGGUUUGGAUAUGUUUUGUACCACCUUAUAAGAUCCAUUCGGAUAUUUUUUACAUUUCAGACCGGGUACGGAUGGGUUUUUCGGUUCGGGUUCAGUUCGGAUUUUGAAUUAUAGAUUUUAUGCCCAUGCCUAGUUAGGGUUUAGCCGGCGGCGUUAGCGUCAUUAAAAUUGACGUUAUUUUCCAGAUUUUUUAUUUUAAUUUGAUAUUUUUUUAUUUAUGGCAUUUUGAUUGGAUAUUAAAAUUGUGGUGAAUUUAAAGGUUUACCUAGGGGUGGACCUAAUUACUUCUUUUUUUUUUUUUAUGGAGCUAGCCAACAUUUGGCUAAUAAUCAACAAAGAAAACAACAUUAAUGUUAAAAUAUCCUCAAAAUCUUCAUAUCUAUUUUCAUAAACCUCGAAACCGAGUGCUCAUAAAUCCCAAAAAAUCAAAAAAAUUUCUUUUAAAUUUAUUGAUAAGAAUUAUAUAUCACUCAAUUUUCUUUAGAAAAAAUGAACAUUGUUUAACCAUUAUAUUAU
rnacentral:lncRNA from 1 species